UUAAUUCAAAUUUGUAUGGAGUUGGAAAGUUUUCUUACGUUUUCCACUAGGGGCGGUGUCCUAACUGCAUACGAAUUUGAGUUA
rnacentral:pre_miRNA from 1 species